AGGGCCGAGUGGGUUUCCAUCACGUGCUGAUUGCAAAAUAAGCAUGGGAUGGAUUAGAUUUAGCUCUGUCUCUUCUGUAAACUGAGGGAUGUUUUAAGCUCUGUUAGCAAUCUCACAGUCUUUCAUCAUCUAUGUGGGUAAAUAGCUGCCUGCCCAUGGGUUUCUCUGGGCUCAAGACAGUGUGAUGCUGAGGGUAAUCAUGGCAAGGGUGUUUUCUAACCUGAAUUCAGUUUGGCAGGUUCCCUGGCACAAGCAUGUGCCAAGUCUUCCCUCCCCUGCGGGGCCAGCUUGGUCCUGUAGGACAUCAAAACUCAUCGGGGCCAUCCCCAUCUACCUGCCUCGUCAGCGGAGUAAAUCAGCCCAUAAGCUUGUAAAGCAAAGAUGUGCUGAGAUGGAGCAUCCUCCUGCAAUGCCCCCAUGUUGUUCACUGUGGGGCUGCACUGCUACUGGGGAAUGCAUCAUCCCAGCAGCUCUUCUACGAGAUCCAUUGGCCAUACAUCAACACAAGAGCAUCGUAUAUUACCUGAGCGAGCUGUAGCUCUCACACCGCAUUACACCAAUCCAUCACUGAAGCAAGCUGUUGCUCUCAUGAUAUAUUAGUAUAAUAAUCUGAGCAGAGCAUACCAAUGAUAAAUUACUCAAAAGAUGGCACCAUUUAUGGAAGCAAGGUUCCAGCAAGAUAUUCAGUGUAAUUACAGGCUGCUGGCUGACUUCUAGUGGCAAGAAAGUCAGCCAACGUACCUGGAUACAGCAGGAGCUGCUUUCCCAGUUGGGGUUGGAAACACCAGUAUAGAAACAGGCUUUCUGUUCAUCUAGUGGUGAAUGUUCUCUUCUCCUUAGCUGCAGUGAGCUGUUUUAAAUCUGUGCUGGUCACUUGGUGGAAAGGUCUAGAUAGCAGUUUUCCUAGGGAACACUCCUAGCACAGAGCAGCUUCUUCCUAGGCCCAGGUUUCUGUUCCUGCUGUUCUCUGUGAAUAGUUCCUCCAUCCUGUGAUUUGCAUUAGGACAAGGAUAACUAUUUCUUGUAACUCAUCCUUAGAAAUAACCUGCAUUUAUCCCUGGUUUCGUGUCGUGCUGUGGGACUUUGGUGCACUGAUGGUGUUUUGUCACUCAACUCAGUAAAUAUGGGAAGAGGCUGAUUUUUGCCCUCUUGAAUAUUUGGUUGGUUACGUUGCAUUGUAUCACGAGAAGAAAACUGUUUGCCAAAUAUUUCACAUUUAUGACGGGCACUGUACUUUUGCAGCAUACAAUUGGCAGUGUUACAUCCCAGCUUUCCGAAUCCCUGCUCAUCUUGGCUUUUUACAGGAGCAAAUUAAUUGUUCCUCAGGAGAACAAAAUUAAAGCAUUCGAAUAAAGGAAAAAAAAAAAAAAAACAUAGGUUGUAGAAAGGGAAGGGAACAAUACUUCUUGUUGCCUCUGACUUCUGUGAGGCAGUGAGCCACAUUUCUGACCUGGAUGUGAUGAUCUUACGGGAGAAGAAUAGAGCUGAGGCAUCGCCUUUCAAAUGAAGGGCGAUGGAAUAAUGGAACAGCCUGGGGGAGGCUUUAGCUCCUUCAAUUCUGGUAUUUCUUUUUUCCCCAAAUAGAUGCAUGAACUUAUGUUUAACGUUAUAAUACCUAUAAUAAUAAUUAAUAUCUCCAGUGCUUCUCUCCAAGGUCUUGAAGUGACUUCACAGGCAAUUAGUCCCGCGAGGCUCUAAGUAUUAACGCUGUCCUUUGUGCGGAUGAGAUCUGAAGGAAAAAGAGCCUAAUUGGCUGAACGAAACCCAUUAAAGUAAAUGGGAUGUAGGACCUGUGACUUUGAGUCUGCUCACGGUGGCUCGGAGCAGCAGCGUGCCAACGUCCCAAGCCCUUCUCCAUCCAUCUUUCCCUCGGGCUCUGGUGCUACACAUAUCUGGUACGGAAGAGAAGGGACAAGAGUCACUCUGUCACUGUAGGAAGAAAAGGAAAAGCCUUUGGAGAGCUGCUCCCACUUCCUUUCAGCUGAAACGAGGGGAGUGGAUUCCAAUGUGUGUUGCUCCAGGAGAAAUCACAGCCUGAUGCUGUUGGUGCGAACUGCCCACCUCUCCAUCAGCCUGGCCAGAAAAUUAAGGAAUGCUUUGUUUGAGUGAAUCCCUGUGUUUCAGUCUCUCCACACAAGCCCCUGUGCACAGCUUCCUUUGGACCCACGUUUUAUGAGAGAGGUGAGUGGGGAGGAGGUAAUGCCCCUAUAGCCGUAGCCCCUGGACUAUCCUAAACAGGGAUCAGGAGCUGCUGCUGGUGAGCUGAGCCAUAGGAAGGUGGCACCCACAGCAAUGCACCUUCACUGCAGUGCUUUGGGGGAAUACAGCACUAACC
rnacentral:lncRNA from 1 species